AGCGCAUCAAGAUUUGUAUUUUGCUACUUCAGAUCAUGAGCAGCCCAUCUAAAGACCCAGGAUCAUCUGAUCACUGCUUUAAUAUUUUGAUGAGCAAGGGAUAUGACCAUCAAGACGCAGAAGACGCAGAAAUGAUGAGUAUGUAUUUAAUGGAAACAAAGCCGAGGUCCCCUUCAUUGUUGCCCUCUCCUCUCCCUGAAUCCUUAGCAGGCACUAAGUUGAAUAUUACAGAUCAUACAUUCACUGAUGGUACGCAAAGCUUCUACUCCUCAUCAAGAAGACCUAAUGCCGCUCAGAGCUUGGUGUGUGGAACUCCAAGGGGUCGUUCCCAACCGCAACGGAGAGCUCUCCAGCCUAUUCAAGCCAAUGCUGAUCAUCCAACUCCAGGUUACUUGCCUGGAAUGAGCUUGAGUGACUUGGCCUCGAGUAUGGUUAGAGAUGGAAGUUUAUCUCCACAGCACAGCAAUAGCUCUUUUGAUCCACUUGAAGAUGAACCAACCACACCACGAACCACACCACAAAGCCGGUUUUCCACAGGAGCAGGUGCUAGUGCAAGUGAUGGAAGUAUAAUGGCCUUACUACAAAAUCAGCAAAGCAUUCUACAACAAGUUCUACAAGGCCAAAUAAACCUGGAGAAUCAGCAGUCGCAACUUCAACAGAGGCUUGAUGAAGUAGAGAAAUGGAGGACAGAAUCUCAGACACCUCUGAGCUCAAGCUCACCUGACAGCAGCAGUGGGAAGAGGAAAAGAGUAGUUACCAGAGAAUUAACGGUGAAGGUCUCUACUGUUCAUGCAAAUAAUUAUAGACAAGCAGUUUGUUGCGUCUCAAAUGUUCUCUUCUACUGAAAACAAGCUCGUGCAUACAGCAAUUAUCAAAGAGAUAUCGCAGCAACCUGAUUGCAAAUUUUCAGAGAAGGAAAUCAAAGGUAAGUUUUUUAGCUAGUAGGCAUAUCUUACUUUUAAGCUUAUAGUGGCAGUGAAGCGAUGUUUUGAGAACCUCCGACGUCAACACCUACAGCAGCAAGAUGGGAAGGAGGAAUUUGCUGAGGAGCAGUCCAAGCGAAGAAAAUAUCGUUCUCGACGCGAGAGGAAAUUCCAGAGGAGGGCCAAUGUGGUUACUCCCAGAGAAAUGGAACGAUAUUGGCGCCAUCUUAAUUUAGGUUUUAUGACAGAGGAAUCGGAUGACCCAGAAAACCCCAAUGGAAUAGUAGAACACCGACUACUGUGGCGUUCUCAGAAACUUGAUGAAUUUAUGGAGCAUCUGGAUGGUAGGCAAGAACAAAAGUCUAUGCCUGCUGGACUGGUCGCCAAAAAAGUUAGGCGAUACGGUGAGCCUUCCAAGACUCAUCCUCCGGCCGAUGCUCCAAAAUGGGCUGUACGGACUGUAAGGAAUCCAGGAGAUGAUUCUGUUGAGUCUACACCUGAGGCUGCAGGAACUCUUCAAUGAUUCACUCGGCCAAGAAUCGAAUUGUUAUAAUGUUGAAACUGUUGAACAUUUCAUGAUUGAACUCAUAAUAAUUAUACGAUGAUCAUAAUAACUAAUACUUAGAGUUUACAACACAUUAUUUAAAAUUAAAAACUUGUGGUCUACAUCAUAA